GUAGGUGGCAAGCGUUGUCCGGAAUUAUUGGGCGUAAAGCGUGCGCAGGUGGUUCUUUAAGUCUGAUGUGAAAGCCCCCGGCUCAACCGGGGAGGGUCAUUGGAAACUGGGGAACUUGAGUGCAGGAGAGGAAAGUGGAAUUCCACGUGUAGCGGUGAAAUGCGUAGAUAUGUGGAGGAACACCAGUGGCGAAGGCGACUUUCUGGCCUGUAACUGACACUGAGGCGCGAAAGCGUGGGGAGCAAACAGGGAUUAGAUACCCUGGUAGUCCACGCCGUAAACGAUGAGUGCUAAGUGUUGGGGGGGUUUCCCGCCCCUCAGUGCUGCAGCUAACGCAUUAAGCACUCCGCCUGGGGAGUACGGUCGCAAGACUG
rnacentral:rRNA from 1 species